rnacentral:rRNA from 1 species
UAAGGAAUAUUGGUCAAUGGACGCAAGUCUGAACCAGCCAUGCCGCGUGAAGGAAGACGGCCCUACGGGUUGUAAACUUCUUUUGUACGGGAAAAAACCACCGGUCGUGUAUCGGUGCUGAUGGUACCGUAAGAAUAAGCAUCGGCUAACUCCGUGCCAGCAGCCGCGGUAAUACGGAGGAUGCAAGCGUUAUCCGGAUUCAUUGGGUUUAAAGGGUGCGCAGGCGGAUUAAUAAGUCAGUGGUGAAAUCCUACGGCUCAACUGUAGAACUGCCAUUGAUACUGUUAGUCUUGAGUAUUGUUGAGGUAGGCGGAAUGUGUCAUGUAGCGGUGAAAUGCUUAGAUAUGACACAGAACACCAAUCGCGAAGGCAGCUUACCAAGCAAUAACUGACGCUCAUGCACGAAAGCGUGGGGAUCAAACA